rnacentral:lncRNA from 1 species
CUCAGGUAGCAAUAAACAGUUAGGAAAAAAUAUUAAAAUUUGCCCUUAUAAAUUUUACCAUCCCCUUUUCAUUGCUUUCUUGCAAUAUCAAGCUUACUGUUUGUGUCAUAUAUGGGCAUAUGUAUGUAAUCAGAAUCUUCCAUAGAUUUUAUAUCCAGUAUAUAAAAUGGUAAAAUAUAAUUUCUUUUGGGUGUAUCCAUGGCAACAAUCUGCAUUUAUUUGUUAUAAAAUAUUGCAAAAAGGGGGGAAAAGAUGUCACAUAUUUCCCCAAAAUUUGGCUAAAAGUAGAAUUUCAAUCGCUUGAAGUAAUACCUUUUCUGAAACUGUGUACAUAUAUCAUUCAGCAAAUCCAAGGAAAAUCAUAUGUCUUUCAUCUCAUUUUUUUGUAAAAUUGCGUCAAAAACUUCGUGUAGAAAAAAAGUGUUUGUAAACAUUACAUUAAUUUCUGGACCGAUGGCCGGUCUAGCUAUGAAAAUACGGAUUGUCAAACAGAAAACAGCCCAUAAAACAUGUAAAAAAUAAUCUUGAUGCACUUAUAAACCACCUUUGAAGGCUAAAUUAGCACUCAGCUGUCUAAAAAUGAAUUUUAUUACACAAUAACUUUCCUAUUUGAAAAAAUCCACAGGGGCCAAAAUGCGAAACUAAACUCCUAACUGUGUAUUGCUACCUUAAUAGUAAAUAUUUUUUUCAAAUUCUCCCUUUUAACUUAUUUUCUAUGUUCUGCUAGCUAUCACGAGUAAAAUGGCCUUUUAUUUUUGAAAAUUGGUUGAGUAAUGAAUAUUUUAUGAAGGUUAGCAGUUGACACUGAAACGCGACAAAAACUGAUUUUAAAGAAAGGUGCCAAGUCAAAGUGUAAAAUCUUGUCUCUACCUCAAUUUUUAGCAAAAUCUUAAAAACUAUACCUCUUUUGUCAGUUUUUUAAUGUUGAAAAUCUUAAUAAGAU